GAUGUGACUUUCAUUUUCACUGGUCCAGGGAUGACUAUGCGAUGCAUUUUAUUUGACAGAUGGAUUGGUGGAAGGAACUGGCACUUUCUUUCUUUCUCACUUGCCAUUCAGGAGAUCAAUCAUAACCCCAGGCUCUUACCCAACAUUACCCUGGGCUACAGCAUCUAUGAUACCUAUUUUGAUGGAAGAACGACUUCUGAUGCCCUGACAGACCUCCUUGCUGGUGGGAAAAUCAACAUUCCAAACUACAGCUGUGGAAGACGGGGAGAACUGCUGGUGGUUCUUGAAGGUGGCGAAUCAGACAUCUCCACACACAUUGCAAGCAUGUUGAGUACCUACAAGAUCCCACAGAAUGGCCCCCAACGAAGAAACUCAGUACCACGGGAUGGUCCAACUCCUCCUGUAUUUCAAAUGGACAUGGGUCGGCCUCUUUGCUCCAGACAACGAUAAUGGAGAAAUGUUCCUGAGCACCUUGGCACCUCUGAUGACCAGCAAUGAGAUUUGUGUUGCCUUCUCAAAAAAAGUACUACUACAAACCUGGCUGUGGAUACCCCAUGAAGCACCUGCCAUGUGGAGACAAGUCAAUGUCUUUGUUUACUAUGCAGACUAUCAAGAUGGACUUUUUAUAAUCAUGGAGGUACAAUCCUUCCUUGAAAGGAUACAAACUGGAGGAAAAGUCUGGAUAACAACAGCGCUUCCAAAUAAAAUCUUGACAUAUGAGACUGAAGCCUUUUGGUAUGCCCAUGGUUCUUUGUCCUUUGUAAUGAAGACUAAAAAAAGGACAAAACAUGACUACUAUGAGCCAGUGUAUUCUCCUACUUGGUGGAAAGGAUUCGAUUGUUCAUAUUCAAAGCAUGUAUUGUCCGUGAGGGGUUGGGAAAGAUGCAGGGAGAGGGAGAAUCUGGAGAUGCCGCCUCAGGAGGAGAUGGAAAGAAUCCUGUCACAAGAUAGCUACAUCAAUUACUAUAGUGUUCAAGCUGUGGCUCAGGCCUUAAAAACAGCAUAUACAUCUGGAUCCAAGAAGAGGCAGAUGGUGGGUGGAGGAGACAUUGUUGAACUUCCAAGGCUACAGCCAUGGCAGGUACACCAUUUUCUUUUUGCAAACUAUAAUUCAUUGUCUAGAAUUGACAUGAUAGCAAUUCCAUAAGCUGCCUUACACCGAAUUAGAUCAUUGUUCUACCUAGGGAACCUUUCCCAGCACUACUCAGAGAUGCCAUUGGGAAAUGAAGCUAAUACCGUCUACAUCCAGAGCAGAUGCAUUCCCCGCUGAACGCUUUCCUGCAUCCAGGGUCAAGCAUAGCAUUUCAUUUAUUGCUACAAAUUUACAAGGCACCCUUUAACACAUGAGCAUGAUCCCAGGCCAUUUUGCAAGAAUGCAUAAGAACACUCACUAAAUGCUGGCGUUUUCCAUGUCAUAUUAGCUUCAUCCUUUCUUGAAAGAAGUGCAGCUCUCUUCAAAUACUUCGGAUGCUGGACAAUACUUGGAUGAGAAUGGGGCAGUGGCCAUUGACGUCGAUAUUGUGAAUUGGGUGCUGUUUCCUAAUGAUUCUCGUGCUAGAGUGAAAAUUGGAAGCAUAAAGAGGCAGAAGUCCUCAAAUCUGAAGUUCACCAUUAACCCAGAAGCAAUUGUGUGGCCCAAGCUGUUUAAGAAGAGCCAGAGGAGAGCAUGUGUGAGUAGUGAGUCUUCUUC